rnacentral:rRNA from 1 species
GAUGAACGCUGGCGGCGUGCCUAACACAUGCAAGUCGAACGAAGCAUUUAGGAUAGAUUCCCUCGGUUUGUAGUUCUUUAUGACUGAGUGGCGGACGGGUGAGUAACGCGUGGGUAACCUGUCUUGUACCGGGGGCUAGCACCUGGAAACUGCUGGUAAUACAGCAUAAGCGCCCUAUGUUCUUUCACUUGGUGUGAAACACACCGUUGGUAUAAGAUGGACUCGCGUCUGAUUAGCCAGUUGGUGAGAUCACAGCCCACCAAGGCGACGAUCAGUAGCCGAGCAGAGAGGAUGACCGGCCACAUUGGAAGUGAGGCACAGCCCAGAAUCCUACAGGAUGCGGCAGAGCGGAAUAUAGCAAAAUGGAGUGAACGCAGAAGCUGCGACGCCGGGUAAGUGAAGUAAUAUUUGGUUAAGUAAAGCUCUAUCAUCAGGUGAGAUAUUGACGGUACCGGAAUAAGAAGCACCGGCUAAAUACGUG